AUAUGUCGAUACAAAC
rnacentral:sRNA from 1 species